AGUGAACGCUGGCGGUAGACCUAACACAUGCAAGUCGAACGGCAGCACAGUAGGAGCUUGCUCUUACGGGUGGCGAGUGGCGGACGGGUGAGGAAUACAUCGGAAUCUACUUUUUCGUGGGGGAUAACGUAGGGAAACUUACGCUAAUACCGCAUACGACCUACGGGUGAAAGCAGGGGAUCUUCGGACCUUGCGCGAUUGAAUGAGCCGAUGUCGGAUUAGCUAGUUGGCGGGGUAAAGGCCCACCAAGGCGACGAUCCGUAGCUGGUCUGAGAGGAUGAUCAGCCACACUGGAACUGAGACACGGUCCAGACUCCUACGGGAGGCAGCAGUGGGGAAUAUUGGACAAUGGGCGCAAGCCUGAUCCAGCCAUACCGCGUGGGUGAAGAAGGCCUUCGGGUUGUAAAGCCCUUUUGUUGGGAAAGAAAAGCAGCAGGUUAAUACCCCGCUGUUCUGACGGUACCCAAAGAAUAAGCACCGGCUAACUUCGUG
rnacentral:rRNA from 1 species